GGUUGAUCCUGCCAGUAGCAUAUGCUUGUCUCAAAGAUUAAGCCAUGCAUGUCUAAGUAUAAACAAAUUUAUACUGUGAAACUGCGAACGGCUCAUUAUAUCAGUGAUUAUUUAUUUGAUGGUACCUUACUACAUGGAUACCCGUAGUAAUUCUAGAGCUAAUACAUGCGCAAAAUCCCGACUCACGAAGGGAUGUAUUUAUUAGAUAAAAAAGCCAAUGGGGGGCAACCCUCUCUUGGUGACUCAUAGUAACUGUUCGAAUCGCAUGACGCAAGUCGG
rnacentral:rRNA from 1 species